GAUAAACGCUGGCGGCGUGCAUGAGACAUGCAAGUCGAACGAAUGACCAGGGCUUGCCUUGGUCGUUAGUGGCGGACGGCUGAGUAACGCGUGGGUGACCUGCCCCGAAGUGGGGAAUAACUGCCCGAAAGGGUGGCUAAUACCGCAUGUGGUGGUGCGUUCGAUCGCACCAGUAAAGCCGCAAGGCGCUUCGGGAGGGGCCUGCGUCCGAUUAGCUCGUUGGUGGGGUAAUGGCUCACCAAGGCGACGAUCGGUAGGUGGUCUGAGAGGACGAUCACCCAGACUGGGACUGAGACACGGCCCAGACUCCUACGGGUGGCAG
rnacentral:rRNA from 1 species